AACGAACGCUGGCGGCAUGCCUAACACAUGCAAGUCGAACGAGACCUUCGGGUCUAGUGGCGCACGGGUGCGUAACGCGUAUGCAAUCUACCUUGUACAGGGGAAUAGCCCAGAGAAAUUUGGAUUAAUGCCCCAUAGUAUUAUUAAAUGGCAUCCUUUAAUAAUUAAAGUUCCAACGGUACAAGAUGAGCAUGCGUCCUAUUAGUUAGUUGGUGUGGUAACGGCAUACCAAGACGAUGAUAGGUAGGGGUCCUGAGAGGGAGAUCCCCCACACUGGUACUGAGACACGGACCAGACUCCUACGGGAGGCAGCAGUGAGGAAUAUUGGACAAUGGGCGCAAGCCUGAUCCAGCCAUGCCGCGUGCAGGAAGACGGUCCUAUGGAUUGUAAACUGCUUUUANACAGGAAGAAACACUGGUUCGUGAACCAGCUUGACGGUACUGUAAGAAUAAGGAUCGGCUAACUCCGUGCCAGCAG
rnacentral:rRNA from 1 species